rnacentral:rRNA from 1 species
GAUGAACGCUGGCGGCGUGCCUAAUACAUGCAAGUCGAGCGAACGGACGAGAAGCUUGCUUCUCUGAUGUUAGCGGCGGACGGGUGAGUAACACGUGGAUAACCUACCUAUAAGACUGGGAUAACUUCGGGAAACCGGAGCUAAUACCGGAUAAUAUUUUGAGCCGCAUGGUUCAAAAGUGAAAGACGGUCUUGCUGUCACUUCUAGAUGGAUCCGCGCUGCAUUAGCUAGUUGGUAAGGUAACGGCUUGCCAAGGCAACGAUGCAUAGCCGACCUGAGAGAUUGAUCGGCCACACUGGAACUGAGACACGGUCCAGACUCCUGCGGGAGGCAGCAGGAGGGAAUCUUCCGCAAUGGGCGAAAGCCUAACGGAGCAACGCCGCGUGAGUGAUGAAGAUCUUCGGAUCGUAAAACUCUGUUAUUAGGGAAGAACAUAUGUGUAAGUAACUGUGCACAUCUUGACAGUACCUAAUCAGAAAGCCACGGCUAACUACGUG